rnacentral:rRNA from 1 species
AGUCGAACGAACUCUGGUAUUGAUUGGUGCUUGCAUCAUGAUUUACAUUUGAGUGAGUGGCGAACUGGUGAGUAACACGUGGGAAACCUGCCCAGAAGCGGGGGAUAACACCUGGAAACAGAUGCUAAUACCGCAUAACAACUUGGACCGCAUGGUCCGAGCUUGAAAGAUGGCUUCGGCUAUCACUUUUGGAUGGUCCCGCGGCGUAUUAGCUAGAUGGUGGGGUAACGGCUCACCAUGGCAAUGAUACGUAGCCGACCUGAGAGGGUAAUCGGCCACAUUGGGACUGAGACACGGCCCAAACUCCUACGGGAGGCAGCAGUAGGGAAUCUUCCACAAUGGACGAAAGUCUGAUGGAGCAACGCCGCGUGAGUGAAGAAGGGUUUCGGCUCGUAAAACUCUGUUGUUAAAGAAGAACAUAUCUGAGAGUAACUGUUCAGGUAUUGACGGUAUUUAACCAGAAAGCCACGGCUAACUACGUGCCAGCAGCCGCGGUAAUACGUAGGUGGCAAGCGUUGUCCGGAUUUAUUGGGCGUAAAGCGAGCGCAGGCGGUUUUUUAAGUCUGAUGUGAAAGCCUUCGGCUCAACCGAAGAAGUGCAUCGGAAACUGGGAAACUUGAGUGCAGAAGAGGACAGUGGAACUCCAUGUGUAGCGGUGAAAUGCGUAGAUAUAUGGAAGAACACCAGUGGCGAAGGCGGCUGUCUGGUCUGUAACUGACGCUGAGGCUCGAAAGUAUGGGUAGCAAACAGGAUUAGAUACCCUGGUAGUCCAUACCGUAAACGAUGAAUGCUAAGUGUUGGAGGGUUUCCGCCCUUCAGUGCUGCAGCUAACGCAUUAAGCAUUCCGCCUGGGGAGUACGGCCGCAAGGCUGAAACUCAAAGGAAUUGACGGGGGCCCGCACAAGCGGUGGAGCAUGUGGUUUAAUUCGAAGCUACGCGAAGAACCUUACCAGGUCUUGACAUACUAUGCAAAUCUAAGAGAUUAGACGUUCCCUUCGGGGACAUGGAUACAGGUGGUGCAUGGUUGUCGUCAGCUCGUGUCGUGAGAUGUUGGGUUAAGUCCCGCAACGAGCGCAACCCUUAUUAUCAGUUGCCAGCAUUAAGUUGGGCACUCUGGUGAGACUGCCGGUGACAAACCGGAGGAAGGUGGGGAUGACGUCAAAUCAUCAUGCCCCUUAUGACCUGGGCUACACACGUGCUACAAUGGAUGGUACAACGAGUUGCGAACUCGCGAGAGUAAGCUAAUCUCUUAAAGCCAUUCUCAGUUCGGAUUGUAGGCUGCAACUCGCCUACAUGAAGUCGGAAUCGCUAGUAAUCGCGGAUCAGCAUGCCGCGGUGAAUACGUUCCCGGGCCUUGUACACACCGCCCGUCACACCAUGAGAGUUUGUAACACCCAAAGUCGG